GAUGGAUACAUCAAAAGUCAUUACACUUAAAUCAAAUUGUGAUGUGGACUAGUGUCUGUACAUAUUAAGCCUCAAAAAGACUAUUUCAAUAUAAAUCCUGCAUGUUCUGCAUGUCUGUGUGAUGAGUGGUGCAGACGCGU